GUAGCACAGCCGGUAGUGCAUCUGAUUCGUAAUCAGAAGGUCACCAGUUCGAAUCUGGUC
rnacentral:tRNA from 1 species